rnacentral:ncRNA from 1 species
AGUCAAGUCUGUGAAAGAGCAAUGCAGUGUAGUGGAAGACGGGCCGGUUUUGAUUGAAGACAUUUUCAGGUGGGGAGUUUGGCAGGGCGGGCACGUCUGUUAAACCAUCAUGCAAGUGUCCCGAAGGGAAUUCAUAGAGAACAAAAACCUCCAAUGGAAUAAAAAGGUAAACGUCCCCUUGAUUUAGAUUUUCAGUAUGAAUGCAAACCAUGGUAGUGUAACCUAUCGAUACUUUAGUCCCUCAAAAUCUGAGGGUUGAGGUGCCAGAA